UCUCUCUCUUCUUUUAUUUUUUUUAUUUGUUUUUUGUUCUGUAGACCAUAAAAGCAUCUGACACAAACAAACAAACAAAAAAACUGCUACAAAUGCAGUAUUUGUUACAUUGAAAGAAACUUUACAAACCUAACAUGAAAACAAACCCAAAAAUAAUAGUAAAUCAUAUUGUAUGCUCUUUUCCAUUGCUGCCUUUACAUGAUUUGAAACCUGAUGAAGAGCUUAUUUGCCUUAAAGCUUGUUUUUUACCAACUGUAUCAGUUAAUCUAAUAAAAGAUAAUGACUAUACAAACUCUCUCCUCACAUACAUUUCACAGAGUCUAGAUAGAGGGGAAAAAAUUAAGUUUGAAAACCCUACUUGUGCAGUCCCAUUGAAAGGACAACGAAUUUGUCUGGAUGCAAUAUGUAAUAAAUAACCCUAUGGGAAAAAAACAAAACAACAAAAAAAAAAAGCAGAAACUCUCACAGCAUGUGCUUUACAAACUUGAAUAACUUGGACAUUUAAAUUGUUUUGUUUGGUCUCUUGCAUAUGGCAAAAUGGCCCAAUUGAUGCACUAAGUACCAUCAGUAUUUCAUUUUUAAGAAUUUAUCUGUUCUCCCUCCCCCUCCCCAUGAUGAUGGAGGAUAGGAUCAGUUUAGUAUCUGGAUCGCUGGCAGUGCACUUGAGUGCUGGUGAGUCAGCUAGAUGGGAAUGCUCCCUCUGAGUCAGUGCGGAGCCAGCCUCCCAGCAUGGUGCUUGGGGACACUCUGGUGCUUGAGCUGCAAUCAUUUAGAUCAGAGAAAACCAAAGCCCUGAACAGUUGCGGUCACUUGAGAUCAGAUGGAAAAAAACAGAGAGAUUAUGCCAGUAUCCUCAGCAAACUCAAAAGAAGACAAGAAUUGCACUAGGCCAGAUCUGCUCGCACUCUGCCAGGAAUCUUGGGGAGUGUGUCUGCACGUGAGACUUCCUGGAAUACCACAAAGUGAGCGGGAAAUUGGGACCCACUUCUAACAUGGAAAAAAAUUACAGAGGAAAACAGAAAGCUAUUUUUGGCACGCUGAAUUCAGUAGAUGAAAAGCUGAGAUAAUCCUAUAGGAACUGUUUUGGAUCUUGAACAAGUCUAAUGGGGAGUGAAUAGGCAGCUUCAAGGGUCCUGACAAAGUGUGCAAGUGACAAAUGAAAGGAAGAUGUUCAUUUAUACACACUAUGUGUGAUCUUCUCUAGGGCUGGGGUAUGAAUUUUGCUCUUGACCACAGUCUUCCUUCUACUUUUGUUAAGCUGUUCCAAAAAGCAGGCCCUUGGAGAAGUGUUCAGCACUAUAGGAACUCUGGAUUUACGUUGGAUGCUUUUUAAAAGAGUGGCAGAGGACAUCACGUCAGUGAGAUUUCACCAAUUCAAGGAAAAACCUUGAAAACUCUAAUCAAGUCUGUCCCAUAUUCAUGCAACAGUAAAGACAAAAGGAUGUAAGUGCAUCAAAGUCUGUUUUUGAGUCUGACUGUAAAGAAUAAGUUAUUAUUCUUUGGAUUAUUUUUUUUUACAUUUCAAUGUUAUUUGUUGGCUCACAGAUAUUUCUUUUUCUUUCUCACACCUCAUACUUUGGCAUGACAACCUCUAAGCAAAUGCUACCAAGAUUACAUUAGGAAACCUCACUCAACAAUGCAGGUACAGUAAAAGAAAAAUGAAAAUGAAAACAAAAAAAAACUCAGGAGAGAAAAAAAAAAAAAAAUACCAACAAACAUGACAGAACCGCUUUGUUUCCCAAAUUAUCAUCAGGCUGUCCAGACAUGGAGAAGCAGUGAACAGCUAUCACAGUGUGGAUAAUAUAGAGAAGUGCUUCCAGGAACAAUGGGAGCAGCCUCCCGUAUGCAGAAUGGGAGCUGUCAGUGGGAAUUAGUGUCCCACAGAUCCUCCCCAUCUCCCAGUGACGGAUCCAGAAGGUGUGCUUGUGGGGUCAGGUGGGAAGGCAAAGCACUGAAGGUUGCAACACAUCCAGUGUAUAGAGAGUAUUAUCAAAUUACUUUGUCAUCUUUAACAGCCCUGCAGGGACUGCAGUGGAAUCUCAGUCCUUUUUUUAAUGAAUGGAAGUUUUACCCCGAAUAGUAAGAGCAAGAUAAAUACUUUUAGCUGUUUUACUUAGCUCAUUUUUUCUUUUCCUCCCUUUUUUUUUUUCCUUUAAUUUUAAAUAAUUACUGUUUUAAAGCCAGCCAAGGCACAUAGGGUUAAAGAUGUAAAAUCUCAGCAUGGUGCAAUAAAGCUGAUACUGAAAUAGUGUAUCCCUACUGUAGGAGGAAUCUGCAAUCAGGACUUCCAAGCACAUGCAAAAAAUAACUCUUGGAUCAGUCUUCUUGUCUUCCAGUAGACUUGGCAAGAAAGGCAAGCCAUAUGUGAAGCCAGCCAUAUAUCAGUUAUGUGGUCUUAGAUAUUUGCAAUAAAACAAAGGACUUUGCUGUCAGCCCUUCCUGAUUUCAUGAAGCCUUUACAGCUCACAGUAAUGUCUCUUUAUCAAAACCCACAAAGUUAUCCUUAGACAUGUGCAUUUCUUACGGAAAAUAUUCUCUGAAAUAGCUAUUUAUGAUUAAAUCCAUCAGGGAAAGGGGAAGACAUGAAAGGACUUAAUACAGCCAGUUUCAGCCAUGCUGAAUGCAUCUAGGAAUAACAAACGAGUGUAAAAACAAUUAAAAAUAAAAUAAGUAAGACUGGGGGAAGGGAAGAGGGUAGAAGAAUUAAAAUAGACAUACACAAAACAAUACGAUCAAGAAUGAAAUCUUUGUGACAGUGAUGUGGAUGCCCUGGUAAAUUAAGUGGAACUAAAACUUCACACCAGAAUUGCUCCUGGCCAUUUAUUUAGGCAGUAUUAGCCAGCAGUUUCAUGCAGGGAUCGUGCUAGGAGUGGGUUCAAGGAAAAAAAUUUGUAAGGGUGUUUUUCCCAGCCAAUGUGAGGUGGAUGGUCUGCACACAGGGAACAAGAAAGAUGGCUGAGAAUAGUUCAGAGUGAGCCACGAAGAGAGGUCAGGAGCUAAUGAAAAGUUAGCCCCCGGACCUGCAAAACCACGGGGAUGUGAACAGCCCUAUGCGUGUGAUUGCUCAGUUAUGUGAAGUUCACUGCGUGCUCAAGCUCAGGGUAAGAACUUGUUUGAUUUGAUGUAGUAGUGAGAGGAGUCAGGGGCGGGAUUUGAAAAGUGACGUGAUUGCAGCAGUGCUUUUCUGAAACAACUUUACAGAAAAAAUUCGGAGAGUGCAUUCCUUACAAAACUGAUAAGGUGUUACUAUAGAACUGCAGUAAUGACUUUGGCAAACAGUUUGUGCAAAUUUCUAGACUAUAAUUGCAAAUGUGGAUUUUUAAUCAAAUAUUAUUAACUAUUACAUAAUGAAAAGAAAUAAAAUCCCAAUAGACAGAUUAGCAUUUUUACUCUCUUUAAAAAACCUUUUUUACAAUGUUCCUUUGAGCCAUAUCCUAAGUUUUAAAAGCAUUUGGGUUUUCUAGAUCAGAUUCUGCAAGGCUCUUGGGCUAACUUUAAGUAUGUGAUUUGUCUAAUUGGAAUUAGCAGCUUGCAACCACGUAUGUUCCUAAGGAUCUUGCCAUGUCAUGCAGGUUUUCUUUUUCUUUUUUUUUUCCUACCUUAAAACCCAAUCAAACAAACAAAAACCAUAGUUAAAAUCGACUCCUGUCCCACCUCUUUUUGUUUAUUUAUUUAUUUUAAAUUCCCCUAUGUUAAAUCUUCACAAAAUCUUUCUUAUCACCUCGUGGAUUAAUUGCCAGUGAAAUAUUUGCUUUGGAAUGAGUAUCUCUUACUAAUGUGUCCUGCUCAGUGUUUAUGACUUAUAACUAUUCAGGGCAACAUACUAUAUUAUACAAAUAUUUGAAGCAAUCACAAGGGGGGCAAUGCUUUAACAUAAUCCUUCACUCACAAGUUGCCCUUGCAGCCCUUUUCAGUUACUUUUCAUUAUUUCACCACAGGGGAACAGUCUCAAUAAAUUAUUGUAUUAACAAUUACAUUAAAAAUGAGCCCUGGAACCCCUUUCUCUACCCCAGUAAAUGUCAUUUAACAGUUUUUGGUGUGGAAAUAUGCAACAGAUAAGUCAAGUGGGUUUUUCUUCUACUUCUUACAGAGGUAUGAAAAUAUCAGUAGAUGCUCAGAUCUCCGCUACUCAAAACAUUACGGGUCAGAUCCGAGCAGAGUGGAGAGGUCAGUGCUCCAUCAUCACAGCUUUAUAUCAUUAUGGGCUUUAGGGCAUAAUAGCCUGCAAGGAUGCUUGGUUAAAAGAUGGGAAGGAAACCUGAAAAAGGUUAAUUACGGCACGCACAGCACUUGACAGUUCCUUUUCAAUCUGAUUCAGCUCAGCUGUGAAUGCCACUGUGUCUUCUGCACAAAGAUCCCGCUCGCUGCUAUGCCACUUGCUGUCACCCCAAGGCAGUUGCGUGGUUUGCCCACAAGGACAGAUCCCAACCCCAAACACUGCAUGUUUUCCAAAGGGUGCACCUGCUUUGCUGUGGAUUUGGUGCUUAGAGCUUGCUGUCUGAAGCCUUAACACCCAGAAACUUGUUUUGACAGUUUGGGUUAUGUUAGUUAGGGAAUCCAAGGAGGGAAUAUCUCUGGAGGGGGCAGGGAGGAGAGGGAAAGAAGCACAAACAAAACAAAAACUUAAGCCUGUGACUAAUUGGCUGAAAGGAUGUGAGCAAUUCGGCUCCACUUAAUUGAAUGUGGGCUCAAAUUAAAAAGAAAGAGUAAUUGCCUUCAAAACUUUGCAUUGUAGAUUGCUGGUGAAAGGCUUAGAAGGUGAAAGCCUUAAAGCACAUGUGUCAGUGAUGUUGUUGACAGGAACCCAAAUAUCCUGUUAUAUGCAUCUGCAUUCAGAGGACUUCAUUCUAGAAGGGAUUAGCCUACAUUAUAUUGAUGGUUUUAUUUACAAGAUGAAUUUUCAUUAAAAAGGUACCCUGAUUUUUGCUAGAAAUUUCAGAAUGUGACCAUGCCUUCUAACUGCUAGCUGCCUUCUAAACAUUUCCUGAUCAGAGAACCUGAAAAUAGCUCUUCAAAUUUCAAAGUAAAUAUAAAGAAUCUCUGCAUUUGGUUACAAAUCCGCAUAUUCUUAUUCAUUUGUUCCUUCAAAUUUAGGGAGAACUUCAUCUGAGCAAAGGGAUAGUUGUGUUAAACACGAAUAACCAGGGAGUAGGGAGUCAAGGAAUUUACCUUGAAAGUACAAAUCUGAGUUAUGAGACCUUUUUAAAUAAAAAUCAGGAAUUAACUCAUGCGGUCUGUACAUUGCCAUUUAUUCUUUACAUCAAAGCUGCAUCCACAAGUUCUAGCCCCAUUGUGCUGUGCACAAAGACACAGAACAAAAGAAAUGUCCUACCUCUCAAAAUAAUUCUCUGCAAGAGUAACAAAGACCCUUUGUUUGCUAUUUAAGCAAGAUUGGUGGACAUCAUCUUUAAGAAGAAGCUCUGAGAAUCAACCUUUUCUGUCCUUUUCCAAAUAUGCAUAUGCACAUUUUUUGUGAGUCUGCUACAGUAAAAAGGCUCCUAAAGGAAAGAAUGGAGCAGAGCAAAAGGAAAAUAUUACUUUAUAUUAAUAACAAGUGGAGUGCACAACGCAUUCCACAUACAAAGGUUACCCAUCUACAGAGAUGGAAGCCAAGGGCAUUUUAAAACUUAAAGAUCCUUUAAAUAAACAUAUUGGUUUAAGUAGGAAGCAAAUAUUCUUAGCUCAGCAGGUAGUUGGUAUCUAAAUCACAUUCAGACUUCACAUAAAUACACAUGUCAAAGCAUUUAUCUAGUAAUAAAAAAAACAACUCUUAAGGAAUGCAGUUCAGAUAGGGAAGUGUCAGGUAUUUUGCACAUUUCCUAUUUCCAGCUCAUUAGUUUCAGCUUUUGACAGGGGUGGAGCUGAAAGAGGGGGUCAGAAAUCCUGUGGAGGUUUUUCUCUCCUCCCAAUUUCACAUGAAUAAACAGAGGGAGGGAGUCCCCUGCCUGUCUGCCAGGCUCUUAUCUAUCAUAUUUAGAUGCUAGAUGCUGUCAGAUACUAGAUAGCAAUGCCUGUAGGUAUUGCCAGUUACUGGGAAAUUAAACCGGGAACAGAAGAUACUCCUUUUCAUUCCCAAACUGACCUUAUGAUAUGAGUAGGUUUCAACAUCCUUCGAAAAACACUGAUGUCCAGACAAAGGUGGCAUUAUUAUAUUUUCAUCAUUUGCUACUCACACCUGAUUAUUAUUAUUUUUUUUCUCAUGUUGUCCACAAGUCUCUUACCAGCACCUUAUCUGUACCUUUUCUUUUGCCUACAUUAAUGUGUUCCUCUCAAAUCCAGGUUCUCUCACUCCGGAAGUUGUAGGUUUAGUACUGCACUGCUGGUUUUAAUUUGAACUUUCCUGAGUAUUAGGGAUUAUCAGAAAUACCUUGUUUUCAAAAAUAAAAUAGAAAGUGAAAAAAUAUACCUAGUUUUCCUUUAUUUCCCUAAAAAACAUUUCAGAAAAUGACAAUGCUUCCCUAGAGAGCGUUACUGUAAGAGGGACUUCGAUCUAAUUCUUGAAAUAUGUGCCUAUGAUCACUAACAGUCAAGUUAGCAAUUACCACCCUUGUGCAAGAAGAUACACACUGUAAGCCAAGAUAAGAUAUCCACACAAGCACACUGUCCCUACUAGCAGUAGAACAAACCUAGCCAGCACAAACUGCAAUAUAAAAGCUUUCAUGCAUUCAGCUGCUCUUUCAUCUGAAGGCUGAUAAAUUCCACCUGAUGGAAGUUAACUUCUUAAGACACUGUUGGAGCAUCCCUUGGUUUGUUGUUGGUAGGAUAUAAAUUAAUAUUGAUAUUUAAGGUACUUUGUUUACAGAGAGGAAAGCCAACAAUAUGGCCUAACUUUUGACUGAGUGAGGUCUCAGAGGUUACUUUGCACUGGCAUGAUCAUCCACACCUUUGGAUUACUUUUUGAAAAAUCUUUGUGGAUCAUGAGAUGCUUCUACUGUGAUAUGAAAAGAAAAUGACUGGCUUUGAUUUGAUGGUCAGGUGGAAUUUCAGUUUGGUUCCUAUCACCUCUCAGACUUGCUUAGAUGAUUCUGUUCCUAAAGUCUGUAUGGGUGUCAGGAAGAACAAUUAUGACUUGUUUUAAAGCUGUUCUGUUAGGGUCACAGGUGAAGUAAAAGACCCAUAACAUUUACCAAUAAUCAUUAGGACAGAGCAUAAGUAUUCACUUUGAAUUAACUUGUAAGCUAGAAGCAUUAACAAAGGCUGCAGGAAGUAUAAUUCUGGGAGGCUCAAAUCUGAAAUUUAUUUUGUCGCACUGUCAUAAAGGGGGUGCAACUUCUUUAAUGGAUUUGAGCCGUUACUAAAUGCAGUAGAGAACCAUAGGAUUCAGUGGACUUCACACAGCCAGGAGUUCAGAGUCUGCCCACUGUGGCUGGUGAGCUAUUUCAGAUGUCUGUUUCUAGCAGAAAUAGACCCGAAAGUGGGUUUACUCUCAAAGAAGAAAAAAGUAGGGUGAUGUAAAUUUCUCUUAAUUUGAGACUACAUUAUGGCCUGCUGCUGCUCAGUCAAAGAAGAUCAAAAAAAAAAAAAAAAAAAAAAAAAAAAUAGUUGCCUUUCUUGCUCUGAGUUUCUAACUGUCCUGCUCAGAUUGUGAAGCUAACAGUAGCUAAUAAAGGAGUAAGUGAACCAAACAUGAAUAACAUUUAGUUUAAAACCUAUCAGAUGGCAGAUGGGCCAUGUCUCAUAGGUGUCGUGGAGACAGUUCAGUGGAGAAGAUGCUGACCUAAUGGUGGCAAGAAUAUACUCCUGCCACUGCUGAUCAUUUUUCAUGGAUUCCCAGUUGGUUGUUUGAUAUGCAACUCCAAAAUUUAUUGUUUUUCUCCUUUUUCUUUCCUUUCUGUCAGCCAAUAAAGAGAAACCAUAACAUCAGCAGUGUUUGAAAACAUAUUUAUGUUUGUUUCCCCUAUAAAAAGAGAUAAUAAUGUUAUGUUCCAAUAAUAUUAAGUUGCAAUGUUAUUUGCAAGAUUGCAGAGCUUUUAAUUUUCUGAUUAUUUCCACAGUGGGAGUUUCAGCUCAAUUUCUACUAAGACAUUUCUAUCUGUUUUGGUUAUUUUUUUAUUACAGCUAGAAGCAACAAUAAUUGCCUUUAGUGUAUGAAAACAUGACUGAGGAGACAAUUGUCGUCCCUAAAGACUAAAAUCAUCAGCAUACAUUUUUGAUGUAAAAUUUUUGUAAAUUAAUUGCAAGGUCCUAUAAAUAUUAUAUUUACUAAAAUUGUGUUGUCUGCUGUCUUCAAAGAAAUAAUCUUUUCCUUUUUCUUUCUCUCUCUCUUUUUUUUUAACUAUGUUUCGUAUGCAGUACAUUUCCUGAGGCAGAAAACAAAAACAUGGAACAAAAUAUUAGCCUUUUACUUUUGUAGUUUUACAUUCUACUAUUUCUCUUUUUGAACUCUGGGGUUUCUUUUUAAUAUAGAGAAAAAGAUCAGUAACACUGUCAUUAAUCAUGACCAAUUUUCAGUUUCUCACUGUUCAGUUGAUCAAAAAAUUGAAUAUCCAUCCCAAAUAAUAAGGCAGUAUUCUUGCAUUUGAUUUUCUCACAGACCAGGAAAAUAAAUUCAAAAUGUCAAACGUUUUGUAGAAUAUCUUUUUCUGCAAUUCCUAUUCAGAAACAAUAAAAUGAAAUCUUUUAGAUGUCUCAUAAUGAAAGUGCUCCCACCCAGUUACAUCCUGGGAGAAAUUAUCUAUCACGACUUAUAAAGGAAAUAUCGUCUGCAACCACCCAUAGAGGAACCUGACAGACUGUCAAAGACCUGGAACUACAGUUGUCAAAAGUCCCUGAGAUAACUUGGGUAGAUGCCAAGAUUAAUAAGCCUAAUUAAAAUUACACUACUUUAUUUCCAUUUUUUCCUUGUAGAAUAAUAAACCACAGUCAGCCUAGAUUUUGUUUUUUAAAGAUCUAUUUUUUUACCUGGCUGUGUUAACAUCUCUCCAGUUGCAUUAUCUCACAGUCUGGUAUGUCCUGUGCAACCCAGAUGUAUAGUUGUUUCACAAGAUUUAUGAGUACAUGGCAAAGUUCUCAAGACAAACAGAUUAUGUCCUUUCCAAAUAGCUGUGUUUGACUGCAGGAGCUACAGAGUAUUUUGGAUAAAUGUGCUCAGCAGGCCUUUCUUUGAAGGAGACAGAUAGUGUAACAGCUAAUAUCAAGAACAGUGAUUAGCACCAAUAGAUUUUAGCAGAUUUACUCCAGUCAUAAUGGUAGCCCUUAAACUUGAGGAGGCAGUGCACUGGACUUACAUUAACUCUAGCAAAUUUGCUCCUAGAAAAGCAGUGGAAAACCUAGGGAAGAUUCUUACUAAUAAAGCACACUUUCAUAAGAAAAUCUGCUCUCCAAGGAAGAUCAGGGACAAGAUUAUACAGACAACCAGGACAAAAAUCAGUAGACAAGAAAAACUUCAGAAAUACUUAGUCUGUGGUUACUGUCUAAGAAUUAACUAUUUUUUUAUUUUUUAUUUUUUUGUUAAGACAGAUAUCAGGUCACUUUUUGAGACCAAUCACAGCUGCAGCUAUACCUGGAGUAGGACCUUGCUUUGGUUCUUCAUGAUUGCUAUAUCUAAAGUACAGCAGGAUGCAGCCAGAUAUGUCAAACUGCCCUUGUUUUCAACCAGGUAUUAGAUUCACAACUUCCUAAUGUAAAGAAAAAAAAAAAAUUAUCUGUAUUUUGAAGACUGAAUUCAUCUCCAGGUAAUACAAAUGAGAAACGGUGCUCUUCCCCACAGUAAUAGGAUUGCAAUCAAGCUCUCAAUGUGAUUUACAAACUCUGUAGUGUUAACCAAUUACUUGCUGGUCAGCCAAUAACAAUGACUGAAUCAUCUUUUGCUUCAGAAAAGGAUCACUGCGCACAAGUUGGAGAAUCUCACAGCACUGCCUUCAAACCAUUCCUACUAAAUAAGACACUGCACUUCUCUGUCGAUAGAUACUAUAUGGUAUUUUAGCCCAAGAAACUUAUGUCAGGAUGUAUAAAAACAACUGGGAACAUGCAGAAUAAUUGAAUCUUAAAUGAUUGUGUAUAAUGUGUCUGCAUUUAUAUUUCAGCAUUUAAAUGCGUUUCAAUACUUUGGUGUGUGAAAGGGUUAAACAAUAACAGAUUUCCUGUGCUAAACAGCUUAAUGAAAAACAUUCAGGGUGCUUUUUUAGAACAACAGACUCAUACUGCAAAAUGAUAAUCUUUGGUAUGUCCUUUUUUUUUUUCUUUUUCACAAGUAACAAUAUAGGCGAGACAGACUUUGCUAUAAUUCUUCCUAAUUGCUCUAAUGCAUUUCAUUUUAUUUUAGUGUUUUCAGUUUAUAAAAACAGUUAGCAUCAGUUUGUUUCCAGUUUUAAUGGAGAUAAACUCCUUCUUUUCCCCCUGAAAAAAUUCACAAUAUGGUUGGAAAUGUCAGCAAUAAUUAGACAAAAUGCUUGUGAAACAUAAAAUAAAAACAAUACGUCUUUUUAUAAUGGAAUCAGUUUGUCUGAUUAUCUCAAACAAUGUACAUUUCCAACUGCCCAGGAGGGUCAUUAGAGCUUAUGAAAAUCAAAGUCUGCUUUUUCUGCUUCAGACAUCAUGGACAACAAUAUUGUCUCCAGGAUCAUUAUAAAUAUAUGUUAGACUUUCUUGAACUACAGUGAACCUGAAGCAUGAAAUGCAUUUAAAGAUAAAAACAUCAGGGGAAAAAAAAAAAGAAAAAAUGAAAAACAAAACAAAAAAGCAAACAAAUAAAUCCACUUUGUGUUAUUAACUAAAUAAGUGUUACAUAGAAAUUAUAGUUGGAUACAUAACCUCGCUGAAUACAGUACUCAAGGGACCUUGGUUCUAUUCUGUCAUCAGUCACAGAUUUCCAGUAUAACCUCAAAAAAGUCAUUUCCUACCCUAUGCACAAUGAGGGCUGUUUGUCCCUUAAAGAGAUGGUUGUGACAGAGCUCCCUUCUGAGUUCCUGUCUAGGUGUGAAGUCUAAUUCAAGAAGUUUCUGUUAUUCCUUUGAGAUACACUCAGAGAAUAGACAAGAGUAUCACUUCUACCUUUUUUCCCAUUUGUAGAAAUGGGGCUAAUAUUCUCUUGCUCUCACUGGAGAGUUUAUGGAUACAAUCCAUUAGUGUGUGAGAGGCAUUCAGAUACCAUGAUGACAAGGACCAUUUAGCAAGUAAAUAUCUGGAUGGAGUAGGAGGAAUUCAGCUGCUGUUACCACAUUACAUUACAAAUAGUUUAGGACAAAAGACAAACGGGAAGUCUGAUAAGUUUAUCGUAUGAUCAGUUAUAGUCAUACAACAAUUCUGCACUCAAGGAACCUGGAAAGCUGUUUCAAAAAUGAAGUUUCCACCUGUUUAGUUUGUUUACCAAUAAGUGUGGCAGUAUGCCUAUUCUGCCCAGUGGUUUAAGCACUUUUCUCCUGCUCAUACAUGCUGGGUUUUCAGUCUUCAAUUGCAUCUUUCAGAUUCGGCAGCAGUGUCACACGGCAAGAUGGAAUUCUAGGGAUGCUGCUGCGUUGUUUUGGAUGGGAUCCUACUAUAUCAGCUGCCAAAGUGCCCAAGGAAAAAUUGAAACUUACAGGAAAAUUAUAGCGACAUGAAGAAAUUUCAUUAAAAGUGACAUGUUCUAAACCUUUUAGAAAUACAAAAAUCUGUUGAAGAUCCCAAGAUGUGUGUAGAAAAUGUGGGUAAGAAAAGAAAAUGCAUUACUAAACUAAUCUAAAACCAAAGCAGGUAUUUCUCUGCUAUAGUAUUGCUACACAUAUGCUCUUGUUAGUACAAGCAAAUGCUUACCAAUAAUGAACAAUCUCUGUUGGUUGCAAUGCUCAAGCACAAAUUAAACACUGCUAAAAACUAUUAUUAAAGCACAUGAAGGAAUUAAUACAUAAAAUCCUUCUGCUACUUCAAAUUCACAGCAAAGCGAUUCCUCUCUGCCAAGCCAUCAGUACAAUGUACAGAAGCCUAUUUUUAAGAAUGGUUAAGGGAACAUACUUUCCAUGGAUCUCCAUGUAUUUCAAGCCUACUAAGGGUACAACCCAUCCUAUCAGAGUAGGUUUAUUUGGAGGAGGAGGACAAGGAUCCCUGCUCACACUGUCUCCCAUGGCAUGAGAAAUGAGAAUAUUCCCGACAUCCCAGUAGCAAUAGGAGUAGAUAUGAUCCACUGUAAAAUCCUGUGAGCUUCAUUAUCAGUUUCAGAUGAGAGUUCUGUUUGUAAUUAGCAGAAACCAAACCAAUGAAGUAGUAUUUGGUUUUCUUUUGUGUGUUUUGCUCUCCAACAGUUGCUGAACACUUCAUUUUAGUCCACCAAUUCCUCAGCUAGUGACACAGCCCAGUCAGGGUCACAGGCCCAAAAUGUAUUCCACCUCUAUGCUCACCUGUCUCUUAAGCAGGGAAAUUAAAAUUCAUUGUCAAAAUAAGCAGAGAUUUUGCAGAUUGAAACAAGAGAGGAAUAGCACUUCUCUCUCUUGUGUCUUCUACAGUGUAACACAGCAGAGAAAGUAAAGCCCAGGGAAAAACAAAUUAGAGUGACCCCAAUGUCCUGAAGACAAUAUUUUCAAGCUUCAUCAUUGAAAUAAAGAUUUGAGAAAUCACCAAUCAACAGCUCAAAUCCACCAGAAGCAGAACGUCAAGUUUGGGCCCACAUGCAGAUUCUCACAUGAGGCUUUCACAUGGUAAACAGCCAAUGUUUGAAAAGGCACACAGCAGAAAUUGUUGGAAGAAACAUUAGCUGGGAGGGCAGGCCCAUUGCCUUAGCUCUCCAAGGCAGACUGAAACAAUAGCAAGUGACACAGAUGAAUUUUCACCUUGUCUACCGGUACUGCCACAGAAAGGAUGUAAUGCAAUCUCCUGAGAAGUCCAUUGUCCUCAUGGCACUGUGUGAAAUCUGUGACAAUGUCAGAACUUGGUCAUAGCUCCAUGUUCUCUGCCAGAAACAUAAGCAUGCUUCGAGUGCAUUAUUCUUUUAGAGGGGGGCCUCGAAAAGUUCAGCUGUAGGAUUUUCUCAUCAGCUUAAUUUUUCCAUGUUCUGUUUUGUUUCUGGUAUUUUCCCACUUAUGUUAUUUGCUUGCUGAAGCUGCUCCAUUCAUGGAGUUCAGUAAAUGGUGUUUGCCAUCAGAACAAUUUGAUUCUAGUUCUAAUUAUAACAACAAGCUGCUUUCUUCAAACAUAAUAUGGGUGUUUCAUUAUUUUAAAUUGUUAUCUUCCAUAUUAAUUACAGAAACAGUUGAUCUUUUCUGAGAAACCAGCAGCUGCAAAUUCCCCCCUUUUUAAAUGUCUCAUUUUAAUAGGUGAAACAUCAGGUAAAAAUUAAAUCAGAUUGUAUCAUAAUUCUCCAGAAGAAGAUAUGUAAGUUACAACACAUUGCCUCCAUAUUCCAUAGGGUUACACUAUUCAGGUGUAUUCAACCAUGUAGCUUAGUAUAGAUCACACAGCUCAGUUGCAGACACAGUGCCCCUAAAUAAAUCACACAGCAAUGGCAACAUUACUAAUGAGACUAUCAGAAUCAAAGGAAGCAGGGUGAUGCAUCUGAGUAGAGCCUACAUCAUUAUUCUGCAUGAUUUGUUUAUGGUAUUGUUGGUGAGUCGUGUUUCUCCCCCCUCCUUUCCUAGUCCAUCUGGAUUAAAAAUGGGAACUAGAAGAACUGAAGUCCUGGAAUAGCCUGUACACAACAGUCCUGCAGUCAUAAGGAGGGGUGGUCUGGUGCUUCUUGCAAGGCAUCUGAUUACACAAACUCACUUAUCAUCUGUACUCUGCAACAGUUCAAGAGCUGAACUUCUGACAGUUUUCUUCUGUCACGUAUUUGUAGCUACUGAUCUCCAUGAUCCCUGAAAGAAGUAUAACUCAGUUACUGAGCCUGCUGACACUCAUGUCAUACUUUUUUCCAUCCUCACUCAAAGCAGUGAUCGAAAUUUAUUCCUAUUUUGUGAAGUACAGAGUAACGAAUUUCCAAUACUAGUGGCUUUUUCUCCACAUUAGAACUCCACAUUUCUGAAAGGGAAAGUUAAUGUUGGAGAUGAGAAUAUGCUACCAGCAAAGCUAAGUUAUUUAGCAUUUCUACAGUAUUUAAAAUUUCUUCAGAUAAAAUAUGAGAAUUAUAUUUAAAAAAAAAAAAAAAAAGAAGAAGAAGAAGAAGAAAAAGACAAACAAACACAGAACAGUUUUCUAAAGAUGAUAUGUAAGCUGCACAACACUGAGAUUCUCCUUGGACAUAAAUUGCUGACAACAUGUCAAAUCUUUUCCACAACUGGGAUACAUUUACAUUGUUUUAAACAUGGAGUUACUUCUUUGCUGUUUAGGAUUUGGCCAAAUUUAAACAUGCUUGGAAGACAGAGACUUAACUUCUCAAAUAAUUUAUUGAUUGCAGAUAGAAACAUUUUUUCUUAAAUUGUGCAAAUAAGAGCUAGAUAACAUUGAGAAUAGGAGCUUUCAAAACCUCUGCACUGAUCACAUCUGACAAACAAGAUAGGAAAAAAAUAUUAAAAAAAAAAAAGAAAAAGAAAAGAGUUUAAAAGAAGAGUGAUAACAACACAACAAAACAGCAAAACAAAACAACACAGAAAAAACAACUCAAAACACAACCCAAACCUAGAGCUUAACCAAAUAAUUCAAUGUUCUUCCCCAAAACCAAUGGAGAGAGGAAUAUAAAUCAUGAAUUUAUAAUAAAAAAAAAUGAUUUUUUUUUCCUAAAUCAAUGGUACUCCUAAACACGCUUCAAACAAUAAAGUAAGACUUUGCAGUGAUGAGUAGUUCAAAACAAUUCUUCAACCAGAUGGUUACAACUGUGGUUUUCUGUACUCCCCUUUCAUUUUCCCUUUCUUACAUGUCCCUCCCACUUUGCAUCAUACCAAUUAAUAUCUUUCCUUCCCUAACAGCCCUCUAGAUAAUUCACAGAGGCAUUUUUCUGUGUGGCCUAGCAUUAAACAGAAACUAUUAAACAGUCAACUCCUAUUUCUUCUAUAGAAUUAAUGUCAUGUUAACUCACAGAAUGCCUUGCUGUUUAAUCACACAUGAAUGAGGUAUUUUAAAGAAGUUGUAAGGUAUUUCAGCCACACCCUAAGAACAUUCCGCUGAUUUAAACCAGGAUGCACUAAACCUGUUUUAGAUACAGUAUAGGAACACUACUUUUAAUUGCUAAUUUUUGCCUUACAAAUCUAAGUAGAAAUAACAAGGAAAAUAUAAUGCUCUUUAAAACAGAAAAAUUGAGUUGAAGUUUUGUGCAAUUUGAUGCCUUGCUGGCAUUUUAGGACUUACUAUUAAAACUCACAUGAAAGUAACCUGAAGGAAAGUUCUCUGGAAGGACAAAGGAAUCAAAUUGUGUCUUUGAUGCUUAUAGACAUAUUCUGGAGUGAUUUUAUAUUGAAUCCCACUUCCAUGAGAACUAUGUGGUUUUAUUCAUGGAGGUGUAAGCACCUGAGCACUCAUCUCUAUGAGUAACAAUAUUCAGAGUUCCAUUGUAUUCUAUUAUAUUAUGACUAGCAGCCUCCAAAUCUGCACUGAAGUAGUUUGAUGCAUUAUCAGCAUUUUGAUCCAACCAUAGCUCAUUAUCUGUGGUCUUACUACUGAUGUGUCUCCAGUCAUGACUCAGAACGGCAGUGCUGGGGCCCAUGUGACCAGAUCCCCUUUCAUCUCCGGGGCUCCAUUUUCUUUAUAAAACAAAGAGGUGCCAUCACAAAUGUACUUUUUGGCAUUUCCCUGUCAGCCAGAAUCAACCUGCUAACUGAUAGGUGUGCUGUGUCUCCUAGAGGGUCUAGAUGUGCAUAUGUGGUUGCAUCCAUGCUCAGAAACAAGGUGCUUAAUCAUGGCAAAGUACAGGGACAUUAAAACCCAUCCAGUUCCAACCCCCUGCCAUGGUCUGGCUGCCCCCCAACAGACUGGGGCCCAGGGCCCCAUCCCACCCAACCUUGAACGCUUCUAGAGGUGAGGUACCUACAGCUUCUCUGGCAGCCUGUCCCAGCACCUCACCAUUCUCUGAGUAAAGAUUUUUUUGGUAACAUCUAACCUAAAUUUCCACUAUUUUAGUUUAAAGCCAUUCCCCCUUCUUCUAUCACUCUUAGACAGUGUUUCAGUGCUGAACAUAUUAAUUACAUAUCCCCAGAAAUUUUCGAACUGCAGCAGUCAGGCUGGAAGGGAACAGUCACAGCAGCAGCACUUUUAGUCCCAUGGAGGAAAGAUUCCAGCUCUCAAAUGCCAGACUUCAUGUGUGCAGAGAGCACCAAGAAGUGCUGCAGAGAGUACCAAGAGCCAACAGGAAUGAUGGUGCCUUUUAAUCUUGGUAAUAAAUGAGCAAAUGCAGCAAAGUAGAAUUUAUCUGUUAACACUGACAGUUGUUAAAGACCAUGUAACUGUCUGUAAUGUAUAUAGAAUUAUUGACAUCAGAUGUGUUUAUAUUUAGGUUAAACAACUAUAUUGUUUUUAUAAGAGAAAACUGUUUCUGAAAACAAUAGGCCAAAUUGCUUUUUCUUGCUAAGAACAAUGAUGCAAUUCUGCCAGUACCAACAAUUUUUAUUACAGAAUCAGCUAACUGAAAACACAAGGCUCUUUAACAACAUGUAUCUUACAAAGCACUCCAGUGCAUGCUGAUGCUGUUUUGCUUUGUUUGCCAGUCAAGAUGGGUAAAAGCAAUUUGUAUUUUGCAUUUUGCUUGUUAUUUCACUUUUCCUUUGUAUGGUUCCUCUCGCUUUCCUUUCUUUUCAUGCAGGCAAGCUCCAUUUCUUCUAAAUUUUUCACUAUCAAAACUACUUCGAUGAAAUCAGAGUCAGCUGAAGAGAAAAAGGCAAAUCCUUCCGGGAUGAGGAAGAAACAGAAGGAAAAGAGAAGAGAAUUGAGAUGGAAAAUACAUUCUUGUCUCCAGAAAUAAGCAAGGCUCCCCAGAAUUUGGAGAUUAUGCAGUCACAGUUACCACAGCAAACAUAUUCUGAGCCGUGUCUUGGACCAUCCCAUUAAAGAUUUUCAAAUACACAACUAUAGGACUGCUUGCAAGAGGGCUGCCUAUUUGAAAUUUGUUUAAAUGCUAGUGUUAUGGAAAGCAUAAUCGGUACAGAUAUACCAAAACUGAGUCUGUAAAACAGAAAAUAAACCUUGCCAUUUGCCAUUUAGAGGCAGUUUAAAACAAGGUCUUUGACUUUGGACUGUACCUGGCAGGUUAGAGAUUCACUAGAUGUGCAGAAGAUGCAGCAAACUGAGAUCAUAGACUAAUGAUUUAGAUUUAAGAUUUAAACUAUAUCUCAUUGUCAUUGAGAUAACAUAAUAACUGAAUUAAAAAAAAAAAAAAAACUGGCUUUUGUCAGUGCAAAAAUUAAGCUCUUGUGCUUGCCUCAGUAAUGAAAUAUACAACAUCUCUUGUUGUCCUUACCUUUGAACUGCAGAUAACUGUACAGCAAUGUUACAGGACAGAGAUACACUUGUGAAAUAUUCACGAGCUGAUGUCUUUGCAGCCCCACGGGACCAGUGAAGAGCUCUUUUUUCCCCCACAUCUCUCUCUCAGACUUUAAAUAAUGAGGAGCAGAAAAGGUAUGAGACAACAUGUCUGUGUGUCUCCUUUGAAAUCUUUUCUUACAUUACCUUGUUAUCUGUGCUCAAGAGCAGCAGGUAUUCCAGCAGUUCAGAGUGUAUCCACAGCAAAAACACCCAGCAAAAUAGACUACCAGUCGACACAGCUUUCAGUUCCUGGUCCAGUCGGCAAAACACAAAACUAAUACAUAGGGGAGUGCCAGCCUGGCUGAGGCUAGAGGGGAGUGAAGGCAGAAUUUUUGCCAAGCAGUGAUUUAGGAAAAUAUAUAUUAUUCAUCCUGGAAAACAACCUAAUGCACUGUUUCCUACUCUGUGCUCUGAAAGUGCCUUCAUAUGGAAAGCUAUUAAACUUCUAUAUGUUUUUAGCAUUACAGCGUGGAUCAAAGCCUGACCACCCCAGGCAGAUGAGAGUGUCAGAUCCCUCCACCAGUCAGGAGGAUUUGGAUCAGUGUUUUCACAUUAGCCGUCAGUGGUGAAGAAAUCCAUCCAGACCUGAAUUUGGAGUUUUUCCUAUGCUACAGUACUGUGCAUUGGGAAAGACCAUCCUGAACUUACUAUGGGUGGAAUUCCACUUGUUUCUACCACUCUAAGUCAGGCUGGAGCAUGGACAAGAAUUAAAUCAGACCAGACUUAUCAGGGGAAUUCACCUUGUCAUCAAGGCAAACGUAACACUUUUUUUUUUUUUUUUUUUUUUUGAGGAGGCAUCACAUUUUAAAUUUCAAGUGCUGUAAGUCUUCUAACCCCCUUUUUUUAUUCCUUCUGUGAUACAAAAAUGCUUAUAUAACAGGUAUUUUCCCACACCAGCCUUAAAAGCCCUUAUUUCCUUUCUUUUUUUAUUUCAACAGACUAAUAGUCAUUGCAACACAGGUGACAGUAAAUCAAAUCAAGUUGAAAUGUCGGCCUGACUCAUUCUCAGACGAUAUAUGAUUUGUUUGCAUUGCAUUAUCUUGGAAACCCAUAGCCAGUGUGCACUAACUACAUGUCUGCACAUGGCAAGAAGAUAAACACCCUUAGCCAGUAAUAUAAAAUCUAAAUAAAAUUACAAUCAGGUUUGUAUACUAGGAUAGCUUUGUAACACCCAUGGGGCAUUACUCUUAUCAUUAGAAUUAUUUGCAUUAGAGCAGUGUCCAAAGAUCCUGCCUAUGAUCAGGUUCAAAUUGUGCUAGGCUCUGGAAAACAUGGGAAGAGACAAAAAUUCUGAAUGUUAAAUAGAUAAUUACAUGCAAAGGGUGUGAGAAAGAAAGGAUGGCUAUCAUUAUUUUGUAGAGAACUUAGGUGUGGAGAUUACAUUUUUGCUACAUUCUAAGCAUAGGUGCAAAGCAAUGCUGAAGUACAAGUCUGAUUUGCAUGUUCUUUGCACACCAUAACAUGUGUAGGUUACCACGGCUUUGUGGAAAUACUGAUAACAGUGGGAGAGAAAGCUUGAGUCUUCCAUCUCCAGCCACACACAUGGGCAGCUGGAAACGGGUGGCUAGGCUUUUCGCCUGAGGCAACAGCCACGCAUCCUGUCAUGCUGUCCUCUGACACUAUUUGAGUGCUGAUCAGACACGCCUGCCCAAGUUGUUCCCAUAAAGGCGUAGAGCCCUGCAACACAGGAUAGAUGGGCAGGAGAGUUACAGGAACGCCAAGCCCAGAGUCAGAUACCUGAAUGGAUGCCCAGACAACAUGAGUGGGUUUUUUGUUUAUUUUUUCUUUUUCCUCUCUUGGGCAGACCACAUGUUUUCUGUAAAGUCAUAAAAAAAUCUAAGUGGUGCUAAGAACCAGUCACCUCACUCCAGUUUGGCAUUUGCAAAUUCACCAUUCCUCUCUAAGGUAACAGCUGCUGGAACUACACCAGCAACUUCUUCAAAAAACAGGACAAGUGGUCUUUCAGUGGUGGAAGAUCUGCUGAACUCAAAGGAAGCUGCAUCUGGAGUAACAUUUCAAUGUAUACGCUGUGCAUGCUUACAAGUUUUAUGAUUACAGAAACAGCCAGCACAAUGCUGGGCUGACGAAAGAGGGGGUGGAUGUUUAGAUGCUGCUGUUUCACUUCAUGUUGGCAGGGAUAUGGAAAUUAUGAAGUGAUAAGGAGAGAUGUAAGAGGGAGGAGAAGGCAUGAGUGAUUGAUUAUGUGCUUAAUUAAGCAAUGUUGGCCACAUCAAGUUGUAGUGAAGUCUCUGUACAUCUGUAGCAUGCUUUUAGUCCCAGGCAAUAAAUUGGCUACCUGCCUCUGAAUGGACAGUGAGGGGAAAAUACUUUUGAAGGUAGAAAUGUUGGCUAUCCAGAAGCGAUGGAUGGUUACUUACUAUUUUUUUUUUGUCUUUGAAGACCGUAUAUUAUCAGUUAACAUAAUGAACUCACCAAGUGGUCCAGUAACCCACGGAAGUAAUUCUGCUUAGAUCACUGAAAUAAAAGGCAGGAGCAAGGCUUUCAGACUUAGGCCUCAAACAAAAACUAACAUUCAAGGAUAGCAAGCUUUUCCUCCUGUUUAAGCUCCUUUAAUAAAAAUGCAAAUAUUGCUUUCUUAACCACAAUAGGAACUCUAGUCAUUAUUUUUCAAUACUAAUGUUAGUGUUUUCCUAUAACUUCUGUUGUGCUGUAAUUCUAGAGGCCCAUGUCUAAUCCCAUAUGUAAUGUGUUUAUUAGAUGUAAUAUUUUAUCUCUUGGAUACAGUUUCUGACACUAUCAUUUUGUUCUUAUUUCAAUAAAACUGAUUUCCUUCCUUCUCACCCUGACAGGAUGCAUUGAAUUUCUUUAUCACAGAAGAAAGUUAGAAAGGUUCUCCCAUAAAAGACAAAAAUGGACUGCAUGUAGUGUGGCUUAAUUUAAUUUAUCUCAUAAAGUCCAGACCAAAUAAAGUAACUUUAUAAUAUUAGAUACGGCCAGAAUUGAGCUGGGAUUCUUUUGUUGUUGUUGUUUGUUUUUAAUAUAUGGUUAUCUAGUCUCAGUAAAUCUGUAGCUCAUUGGCUUCACCACCUGUAUCCUUCUGAACACAGAAUGAAACAGUACCAAAUGCUCAUGCAAUUUCUGAUUUUCUUUGGGAAUUCACUAUCUGUGUGCUUUAAUCAAGUGAUAAUAUGUAGGAACCAUUCCAGCUUUCAGCUGACAAAAGCACAAUAUUAGUUGUUUGAUGAGAACUCCUCUAUGGAUACAAAUUCCACAUGGAUUUUCCCAGGCUUUGUAAAUUUAUUAAAAAAUAAUAUAUUCUAUACACAAUUAGAACAUGAAUGUUAAAAGAGUAAGUAAAGUAAUUUGUUGGGAAUGUGAAAUCAUCUAGAAAAGAAAGAUGUUUUCGUAUAAUUUUAGCUGUCACAUAAUAAUUUGCAAAACACAGAAGGCAUUUGAAACCUUUGGUAUCCAGAUCCAGAUUCCCAGUAGAAAAGUAUUCCUUUCAGGCUACCUUCUGGAAUAAAGGUCUUCUUUAUCUCCUUUAUCAUAUUGGUAGUGUUUCACUAAACAGACAGUCAGAAGCUGCUGUUGAAUAGGGAAGCUGGAAAACGCUCAUCUUAUUUCAUAUUCAUUUUCCACACCUUGUCAACAACUGCACAGCUCACCACUGAAGCUGCAUUUCAUGCAAUGCAUCCAAAGGUUACAACUUAUAGGUCAGAGAUGGGAAUUUUCACUUCGCAAUCACUGGGCAGCUGAGACUCCAUACAUUACUGUGGUGACAGGUAUAGUACGCAGUGAUGAACCUUCUGUCAGUCAGACAGAGGUCACAUUGGUAUCAGUUACUAACAUACCUCUCUCCUAGCUUAAAAAAAAAAAAAAAAAGGAAAAUUAAAAAAAGUCUAUUUUUUUUCUUCUUGUGGAAAAUGGAAACAGAGUUGAUGUUCACUAAUGUCAAGUGGCAGGAGAUUUAGAGCCCCAGAGCUCAGGAGGUCUCCUGUAGCUGUGCUGGCAGUACUUUCAGCACCAACAUAAAUCGCCGCCUGAACUGAAACCCACAAAAGCUGUUCCAGAAGAAACUACAACAGCCACGUAAACAUGUACUGGACAGGAAACAAUGAACUCCAACCUGGUACUGGAGAAUCCAAAAUAAGAGCAUGUCAACUUCCUGGUCAUAGCUAUUUUAUUUUUUUUCGUAUUUAGCAUCACUUACACAAAAACAGUUAAAAAUUAUUACCUUAGCAGACAGACAGAUUUUUAGUUUUUGUAAUGAGGUGGCUGAAUCUCACAUUAAAGAGGAAGCUGUAACACAAAUAAGAGGAAGUGAAUAAGUACUUAAGAUGUACCUUCAACUCCGUAAUUUUAACGCUUUCAUGAAGAGAUCAGAAUACAAAAUCUAUCAUCAUUAAUUAUAUCCUGUUAUACCAUCCUUGUGUUCUUUGCCAAAUAAAUGCCAUAACACAUCAGAUAACAACAGAAUAUUUACAUUACAAAGGUUAAAGGAUCAUGCUAUCUGUAGCUAGGUCAAAGUAUUUUGGUCAACUGCAAUAAAAUUUUGUCUGAAGGUCCCCAGAGGUUAAUGCGAUCACUGAACUUCACAGUCAGUUUAUGAAUAAGACCUUAAAAGAAUAUUCCUAAGUUCCUGCAUUUUCCUACUUGUGGUACUUGAACAUCCACAAGCAAAUACUGGCCUUCCUAAACAAGACAGUUGGAUGACACAUUUUUUUGUGUCAAAAAGGAAGCCCUUCUUCCCCUCAAAAAAAAAGAAAAAAAAAAAAAAAACCUAGCAUAAAGCAGACUCUAUACACAUGGAAUAAAUUGAUUUUACCAAGGCUAAAUUUGUCUAGUGGAGCCUAUACUUGAGAUCAUUCAAGCGCUCUCUUGAGUUAUCUCAUUGUAGCAGAGUUUGCAGGACAGGGCCUUGAAUUUGUUUCUGCCAUACAAAGUUGAUAUAUAAGAAGACAGGAUUUAAUUGAAACAUCUUGAAAGAG
ensembl:lncRNA